rfam:Cyanidioschyzon merolae strain 10D DNA, chromosome 5, complete genome.
GCGCUAGUGGUGUAAUGGUAACAUAAUUGCCUUCCAAGCAGUUGCCCCGGGUUCGAUUCCCGGCUAGCGCA